UCUGGCUUAUAGCCAAGCGGUCCCCUUAGAGUCCCCAACUGAAUGAUGGUAACUAAGGGCGAGGGUUGCGCUCGUUGCGGGACUUAACCCAACAUCUCACAACACGAGCUGACGACAGCCAUGCAGCACCUGUCUCCGAGUCCCCUUGCGGGGAACCCCUGCUUUCACAGGGUAGCCCGGGAUGUCAAACCCAGGUAAGGUUUUUCGCGUAGCAUCGAAUUGAACCACAUACUCCACCGCUUGUGCGGGCCCCCGUCAAUUCCUUUGAGUUUUAAUCUUGCGACCGUACUUCCCAGGCGGGGAACUUAAUGCGUUAGCUGCGUCACCGAAACGAUUAGACAUUCCGACGACUAGUUCCCAUCGUUUAGGGCGUGGACUAC
rnacentral:misc_RNA from 1 species